rnacentral:lncRNA from 1 species
CUGUACUCCAGUUACUCCAGUACCAUAAGCCGUCUCUAUCAAUUAAGUAAGGAUCCUUUGCACGGGUCUCAGAACAAACAACAAAUUGCACACAACUCACUGUCUGAGCUUCAAGGACUGAACGGAUGAAAGCUGCCGAGCAGAAGAAUAGAUAUUCC